rnacentral:rRNA from 1 species
GACGAACGCUGGCGGCGUGCUUAACACAUGCAAGUCGAACGGAAAGGCCCUGCUUUUGUGGGGUGCUCGAGUGGCGAACGGGUGAGUAACACGUGAGUAACCUGCCCUUGACUUUGGGAUAACUUCAGGAAACUGGGGCUAAUACCGGAUAGGAGCUCCUGCUGCAUGGUGGGGGUUGGAAAGUUUCGGCGGUUGGGGAUGGACUCGCGGCUUAUCAGCUUGUUGGUGGGGUAGUGGCUUACCAAGGCUUUGACGGGUAGCCGGCCUGAGAGGGUGACCGGCCACCUUGGGUCUGAGAAACGGCCCUGACUCCUACGGGAGGCAGCAGUGGGGAAUAUUGCACAAUGGGCGGAAGCCUGAUGCAGCAACGCCGCGUGCGGGAUGACGGCCUUCGAGUUGUAAACCGCUUUCGCCUGUGACGAAGCGUGAGUGACGGUAAUGGGUAAAGAAGCACCGGCUAACUACGUG